rnacentral:rRNA from 1 species
UACGCAGGGGGCAAGCGUUGUCCGGAAUUAUUGGGCGUAAAGAGCGCGUAGGCGGUCCGAUAAGUCGGCUGUGAAAGUCAGGGGCUCAACCCUUGAAUGCCGGCGGAUACUGUCGGGCUAGAGUCCGGAAGAGGCGAGUGGAACUCCUAGUGUAGAGGUGGAAUUCGUAGAUAUUAGGAAGAACACCAGUGGCGAAGGCGGCUCACUGGUCCGGUACUGACGCUGAGGUGCGAAAGCGUGGGGAGCAAACAGG